rnacentral:rRNA from 1 species
GAUGAACGCUAGCUACAGGCUUAACACAUGCAAGUCGAGGGGUAACGAGAGGAAAGCUUGCUUUCCUUGUCGACGACCGGCGCACGGGUGAGUAACGCGUAUCCAACCUGCCCCCAACUAGGGAAUAACCUUGCGAAAGUAAGACUAAUACCCUAUAAUUUCCUCAGAUGUCAUCUGACGAGGAAUAAAGAUUUAUCGGUUGUGGAUGGGGAUGCGUCUGAUUAGCUUGUUGGCGGGGUAACGGCCCACCAAGGCAACGAUCAGUAGGGGUUCUGAGGGGAAGGUCGCCCAUAUUGGAACUGUGACACAGUCAAAAGUACAACGGGAGGAAGCGGUGAGGAAUAUUGGUCAAUAUGCGGAAGUCUGAAACAGCCAAGUAGGGUGCGAGAUGAUGGCCCUAUGGGUUGUAAACUGCUUUUAUACAGGAAUAAAGUUAGCCACUUGUGGUUAUUUGUAGGUACUGUAUGAAUAAGGACCGGCUAAUUCCGUGCCAGCAGCCGCGGUAA